rnacentral:rRNA from 1 species
GACGAACGCUGGCGGCGUGCCUAAUACAUGCAAGUCGAACGAACCGCGACUAGGUGCUUGCACUUGGUCAAGGUGAGUGGCGAACGGGUGAGUAACACGUGGGUAACCUACCUCAUAGUGGGGGAUAACAGUCGGAAACGACUGCUAAUACCGCAUAGGACAUAGGAUCACAUGAUUCUGUGAGGAAGGGUGGCGCAAGCUAUCGCUAAGAGAUGGACCCGCGGUGCAUUAGCUAGUUGGUAGGGUAAAGGCCUACCAAGGCGAUGAUGCAUAGCCGACCUGAGAGGGUGAUCGGCCACAUUGGGACAGAGACACGGCCCAAACUCCUACGGGAGGCAGCAGUAGGGAAUCUUCCGCAAUGGACGCAAGUCUGACGGAGCAACGCCGCGUGAGUGAAGAAGGUCUUCGGAUCGUAAAGCUCUGUUGUUAGAGAAGAACAGCGCAUAGAGUAACUGUUAUGCGUGUGACGGUAUCUAACCAGAAAGCCACGGCUAACUACGUG